rnacentral:lncRNA from 1 species
UGUAGGACUUUACCCAGAAGGGAGUCCUUCCAAAAAUUCUCAAAGGCUUGAGUUGAACCCAAGCCUAAGAGGGGGUUUGGAAAUAGUUUUCAACCAGCAAUAGACGCGCCUCGGUUAGUACCUCACUAGCUGCGUCAUUGCCCCAAGCGCAAAGAUAGUUAUAACAUUGAACAAACUUCCUUUCAUAUAUAACUUCAAAGUCAUCUAAUAUCUCUCAUUAGCAGUGUGGGACUAGGAAAUUUUACUGUGAAGUCCUCAACCAUCAUUCUUGUCCAUAAACAAAUCUAACAACUAAGACAAUCAAAUAUUAAAC